rnacentral:tRNA from 1 species
GGGCGUGUAGCUCAGUGGUAGAGCGAUUGUCUUAUAAACAAUAGGUCCCAGGUUCGAUCCCUGGCACGCCCA